GCAGCCUGGGAAUUUCGGUCGGGCGGGCAGUCCCCACCCCACGGACGGGGCGUGGCUUCUCCAGAUGUGGGCGGGGCUCCGAGGACCGUGGCUGGCGGGACCCGGGCCUCGGCCGGGCUGGCUGGGUCCCCGCAGGGCCUGCGUCUCUCCAGGCAGCACCCAUGGAAGGACCUACUAUGUGCUGGUCACUGCCACAGUGGGAGGAGUCAGAGGUGAGGAAAUCUCGGUCCCAGAGCAGGGACUGGCAGCAGAGACAGGAGAUUCUUAGAGACUCUUCGGCCGCAGGGGGACCAACAGCCCAGCUUGCCCAGCACUGAGUCGCCCCAGAACACAGGGCUGCCAGUUUUCAAAGCAGGGUUAUCAGCAGAAAACACAGGCCCAAAUGGGCACGUCGGUGGAGCUGAGCCUGUCGCCUAAUCGAGUGCCACUGAGGAGUCCUCGUGGUGUCUCCCUGCAGAGGUCACACUGGGGUCAGAACCGAGGCUGCCUUGGGCAAGGGCCAACCGCAAAGCUGUUUCUGAAACCAUAAAGUACCAAGAGAAUGCCCUGUGUUACAAUUAAUAAAUAGCAUUGUUAAUUGACGUGAA